GAUCUUUGCCCCCAAUGAAGAUGAUGACUGUCACACGGGCCUAUCGUCACAUGAGGCAUUGAUUUCUUUUCUGCAAACGUCGGAAAUAUGUUUGAAUUUCCACAUUGCUGUUUGUCCUUCCACUUGAGGAGGAGCAUUUGGAAUGGCGGGAAGCAGCUGACUUCAGUGAUGUUUGGCUGGAAGUGUGAGGUGAAGCAGGAAAACUGCAGUAUGUUUCAGCAAUGCUUUUAAAACAAAAAUCGUAUCAUCUGAUUAAAUCAACGUGGUCAAUCCAGAAGAAGACAUUCCAUGAUGGAGACA